rnacentral:rRNA from 1 species
AAUGAGAAUUAUUAGCCUAGAUUAGUAGUAGUUAAGUUCUUGAAAAUUAAUAAAGAUGGCGGUAUCUUAGUCUAUUUAGAGGAAUCUGCUCUGUAAUUGAUAAUCCACGAUUUAAUUUACUUAAUUUUUUAGUUUAUAUAUCGCUGUGAGUUGAAUAUUUUUAUUGAAUUUUAAUAUUCAUAAUGUUUAAGGAAAGGAUGUCAAGUCAAGAUGUAGCUUAUAGUUAAGAAGAGGUGGAUUACAAUGUGUAUAAAUGUGGUUAAUGAUUUGUAAGGAUUGUUAUAAAAUGGAUUUGAAGGUAAUUUUCUAU